UGAAUACGAGACGCUAAGGCGUCGAAGUAGUGUAUGUCAUACUUCCAAGAAAAGCUUGCACUGUCAUAGAUAAAAAACGCCUGUACCAUAACCGACACAGGUGGGUAGGUAGAGUAUACUAAGGGGCGCGAGAUAACUCUCUCUAAGGAACUCGGCAAAAUAACUCCGUAACUUCGGGAGAAGGAGUGCCUUAUUCGUAAGGUUGCAAUAACAAGAUCCAAGCAACUGUUUAUCAAAAACACAGGUCUCCGCUAAGUCGUAAGACGAUGUAUGGGGGCUGACGCCUGCCCAGUGCCAGAAGGUUAAAGAAGUUGGUUAGCAAUUGCGAAGCUGAUAACUGAAGCCCUGGUGAACGGCGGCCGUAACAAUAACGGUCCUAAGGUAGCGAAAUUCCUUGUCGGGUAAGUUCCGACCCGCACGAAAGGCGUAAUGAUUUGGAUACUGUCUCGGAGAGGGGCUCGGUGAAAUAGACUUGUCUGUGAAGAUGCGGACUACCUGCACCAGGACAGAAAGACCCUAUGAAGCUUUACUGUAACUUGAAAUUGAAAUUGGACUUUAUUCGCGCAGUAUAGGUGGGAGGCGUUGAUUAUAAUCUUGUGGGAUUAUUGGAGCCAUCAGUGAGAUACCACUCUUGUAAUGUUAGAUUUCUAACUUUGAAUCAUUAUCUGGUCAAAGAACAGUUUCAGGCGGGCAGUUUGACUGGGGCGGUCGCCUCCUAAACGUUAACGGAGGCGUACAAAGGUUUCCUCUGAACGGUUAGAAAUCGUAUCUAGAGUGUAAAGGCAUAAGGAAGCUUGACUGUGAGACCUACAAGUCGAGCAGGGACGAAAGUCGGUCUUAGUGAUCUGACGGUACUGAGUGGAAAGGCCGUCACUCAACGGAUAAAAGUUACUCUAGGAUAACAGGCUGAUCUCCCCCAAGAGUUCACAUCGACGGGGAGGUUUGGCACCUCGAUGUCGGCUCAUCGCAUCCUGGGGCGGUAGUACGUCCCAAGGGUUGGGCUGUUCGCCCAUGAAAGCGGUACGCGAGCUGGGUUCAGAACGUCGUGAGACAGUUCGGUCCAUAUCCGGUGUAGGCGUUAGAAUAUUGAGAGGAGCCUUCUUUAGUACGAGAGGACCGAGAAGGACAUACCUCUGGUGUACCAGUUAUCGUGCCAGCGGUAAACGCUGGGUAGCUAUGUAUGGAGUGGAUAACCGCUGAAAGCAUCUAAGUGGGAAGCCCACCUCAAGAUAAGUAUUCUCAU
rnacentral:rRNA from 1 species